rnacentral:rRNA from 1 species
CCUACGGGUGGCAGCAGUGAGGAAUAUUGGUCAAUGGGCGUAAGCCUGAACCAGCCAAGUCGCGUGAGGGAUGAAGGUUCUAUGGAUCGUAAACCUCUUUUAUAAGGGAAUAAAGUGUGGGACGUGUCCUAUUUUGUAUGUACCUUAUGAAUAAGGAUCGGCUAACUCCGUGCCAGCAGCCGCGGUAAUACGGAGGAUCCGAGCGUUAUCCGGAUUUAUUGGGUUUAAGGGGGUAGUAGGCGGCCUUUUAAGUUAGCGGUGAAAGUCUGUGGCUUAACCAUAGAAUUGACGUUGAAACUGGGGGGCUUGAGUAUGUGUGAGGCAUGCGGAAUGCGUGGUGUAGCGGUGAAAUGCUUAGAUAUCACGCAGAACCCCGAUUGCGAAGGCAGCCUGCCAAGCCAUGACUGACGCUGAUGCACGAAAGCGUGGGGAUCAAACAGGAUUAGAUACCCGGGUAGUC